AGCUCCAUUUUGAACCAGAAUCUCAAAUCCAGAUAAAUGGCAACUUGCUUCUGGCAGACUUCGAGUUCCUGCAUUCCCAGUAGAACAUUCCCUUCUGUGUCCUUAAGCACCUCAUUCUGGGCUGGAAUUUAGUAUAUAGAGAAAUUCAUCUUGACUACAUCAAAAUACCUCUGUUAGCUCCUUGUUUCAUUGCAGAACCGGGAGUUGUUCAGCUGCAGUAUUGAAGAUUCAGGCAGUUACCUGAAUUCUUCCAAGCCCCUCUUACAUCAUUGCCUCUGGAUACAGAAGAAAAUUGGUGUCUAUUUUAGAGACCCCAUAUGCCCUAGCAUAUUAAAAAGUACUGUUGGUGUGACAGAGCACCAGGCAUAUGUCUUCCAAAGCAGAUCAGCCAGCCCUAGGUCAUUUUAGCCUGUGUCCUUCAUUAACUGUUGUUUGUGGACUGGGUUUUUAUUUGCCCGUUUCUCUGUGUGUUAUGAGAAUAGCUGAUAUCUCAGGCCCAUUUCGGUAUGUGUCUGGCUCUCUAUUCAACCAUCCAGAUGUUUUUUACCAUAGGCAUUUUACAAAAACCUGAAACAAAUAAAUACACAGUCCUAUCCCUUCACCUCUCCUGGGAUUAAAUAUUCCCAGUGUGUUAUUAAGGCUGAUGCAUAUUUUCUUUCUCUUAAACAGCAGCGGCAGCGCACAUUCACGCAGAUGCCAUUGCAGUCUCCUACAGCCCAGUGCCUUGAGAACCACGGCCGUAACCCAGCCUGGAGCCUGCAUCCUUCCUCCUGGGGACCCUGCCCCAGCGAACUGCUCACCAGCUGGUGGAAGGGGCCCACGGGCCAGCAGUAAAACUGCCGUGCUGCCAUCCUCAGCCAGGCUGGACGUGCAGCACGCGAAGAAUCACAGCCAUCUAUCUGACAGUUCAGCCUGAAGAAGAUAAAAGAGAUCUCUCAUCAUGAACUAAAAGCACUGGAGCAAUAUACGUCAUGUUCAGUCUGGAAGGCUUGCGUUUCUCCUGCAGUCUGACGAUGCAGCUUGUUCUCCGGCGGCAAUCCUCACGCCCCUGUUCCUGUGGGAUGGCUGGGGCGGCAGUCGGACGCUCACUGGGACCUCGCGUGCUUCGGGAGCUGCUGGAAGAGGCUCUUUCCCCCUGCUGCUGUUCUGACUCAGGGAGGCUGGAGCCUGGCCUGAUAGACGUACUCCUACAGCUCUGCAGUAUUUCUGCUCCUCGUUGCGAACAGAGAAAUGUCGUUGGACUCCUGUCUGCCAAGGCUCUUUGGAAGGGCUAAACUCUGAGUGUCUGCAAGAGGCCAGGAUGUGACCACACUCCCAUCCAGCUCGUCAUAACCACAAGAAGAGUUUGGGGACCUGUACAAAGGCCACCCGGAGAAUAGCUGGGAGACGUCGGAUCGCGUGCUGUCCUGCACACGCUGUCGCCAGUUGACUUCCCCGAAAACAGGCUGCCUGUGCAGGGAGCAGAGCUCACGCAGCAGAGCAUCGGCCCCUUCCUCCUGAAUGGACGCUUUGGUUAACAGGGAGCUUCAGGAUGGCUCUGAAAUCCCCCAGAAUAACACCCCCACGCCCCCAUAACGGGCACCACGAGGACACCUCCUGGUGUCACCAAGGCGUGAUAAAACCAGUGAACUCUCUCGGCCAUGCAGCCCGUCUUUGUGAACAGUGCAGGUGUCAAUCUGAGGAUCUAAUCCGAAGUCAAUGGAAGUAAUUCUGCCUUCCAGACCCAGACACUGUGCCCGUGGGAUGCAGAGGUGGUGUAUGGAGCCGGGUCCUCUCUUCCCGAGCGCUGCGCAGAAAACCCGAGGUAUGAAAUGCCGUUAUUUGACGGGAGAAUAGCGAGCGGCUGGCUUUUGUUGCCAGGUCUGCGGAGGGAAGGCUGACGCCUGCGGACGGGUUCGAGUGGCCACGUUGGGGCAGACGACUUGUUAAUUGAGUCCUGCCUGUGGAGCGAGUUCUGACAGUGCUCAGCCCGGGGCGGCGGCGGCGGUCGCUGGGGCUGAGCACCUUGGAAGGUUCUGCUCAGCCUCCCCGUGCUUCGCUUUUAUACUGUCAGGGUAAGUGAAGCUACUCCUGGCUUAUAACUCCGCGAUGGGGAGCCGCACCCGGACAGCGCGCGGUGACGAUGGGGAGCCGCAUCCGGACAGCGCGCGGUGACGAUGGGGAGCCGCAUCCGGACAGCGCGCGGUGCCGCACCGGGUAACGGCCGCGGUGCAGGGCCGAUGCUGACCCGGGGCGCCGCGCCGAGGCCCGCCCGCGGAGGAGCCGGGCAGCCGGAGGCACGCGGGCAGCUCUCGGGCCGGCCGCCGGCGCGCUGCGAGCCGGGGCCGGGUGUGUACGUGUGCGCGGGAGCGUCGGCGCGCGGCGGCGGGCUCCCCUGCUCGCCGGCAGCAGACGUGCCGGGGGAAGCAGCGACGCGUUGCUAACUCCCGAGGUGAUGCAGUUGCUCACGUCCCUCCGGAGCGGAGCGGAGCGCGGCGGCGGGCC